AAAUGACAUUAUUAUAAUCUAGUGGACGGAAACAAUUUGGAGACUUCAGUCACAGAGACUGAGAAGAAUUGGUCGAUGAGAGUUGUCAAGAUGAAGUCUUUUAUUCUGUUUCUGGUUAUAGGACUGGUCAAAACUCAAGAUUUUACAGAUUCGAGUGACUCAAACGAUUCAAACAACUUCUCAGAUAUUUCCGGAUCUUCCGAUGAAGCAAUAGGCUUGAGCAGACAAUCUGGUAUUAUGGGUCAAACUGGUGCUUGGACAAUUAUCAGGCCAGAAUCGACUUUAUGGAAUACUGCUAUGAGGAGGAAUACUCCAAGAAAUUCGAGACAAUUUGUCAACUCUUUAUUAAGAAGAUUAUCGUCUAGAACAUCCCAUUUGAAGAAGAGAUCGAGAUUUGAUUCCAUACGUAUCGUGGUAAGACAAACCAGUCCGCCAUUGAGAUCAAUUUUCAAAUAUGUGCCAGUCUAGUCCUAUGCUAACAGAGCUCUACGCUGAACUGAAGUAAAUUCAGUAAUGUGAAUUUUAAAAGCUACUAUAAAAAAAAAAAGUGUGCUUA